rnacentral:tRNA from 1 species
GGAGGGUAUAGCUCAGUGGUAGAGUGUGUGCUUAGCAUGCACGAGGUCUUGGGUUCAAUUCCCAGUACCUCCA